rnacentral:tRNA from 1 species
GUUUCCGUAGCUCAGCUGGAUAGAGCGACCGCCUCCUAAGCGGUAGGUCGGGUGUUCAAAUCACCUCGGAAACGCCA